UCACGAUAAAGGCAAACCCUGAGCGAUCACAGGACGCAAAGCAAAGGGUCUUGUUAAGCCGUUUAAACAGUUUAAACGGCUUUGUGGGAAGACAGCCUUACUGCCGAA
rnacentral:ncRNA from 1 species